rnacentral:snoRNA from 1 species
UGCAGCUGUGAUAAAUUUAGUGCCUGCCUUACUGAUGGCAGACACUGGCCCAGAAGGCUGCCAGAGAAACCCUGUGACUCAUGGGUCUUGUUCCCCUCACUUGGUUCCCCUCACUCGGGGAUAAAUUUGGUCACAGACACAA